AGUGAACGCUGGCGGUAGGCCUAACACAUGCAAGUCGAACGGCAGCACAGUAAGAGCUUGCUCUUACGGGUGGCGAGUGGCGGACGGGUGAGGAAUACAUCGGAAUCUACUUUUUCGUGGGGGAUAACGUAGGGAAACUUACGCUAAUACCGCAUACGACCUACGGGUGAAAGCAGGGGAUCUUCGGACCUUGCGCGAUUGAAUGAGCCGAUGUCGGAUUAGCUAGUUGGCGGGGUAAAGGCCCACCAAGGCGACGAUCCGUAGCUGGUCUGAGAGGAUGAUCAGCCACACUGGAACUGAGACACGGUCCAGACUCCUACGGGAGGCAGCCGUGGGGAGUAUUGGACAAUGGGCGCAAGCCUGAUCCAGCCAUACCGCGUGGGUGAAGAAGGCCUUCGGGUUGUAAAGCCCUUUUGUUGGGAAAGAAAAGCAGCAGGUUAAUACCCCGCUGUUCUGACGGUACCCAAAGAAUAAGCACCGGCUAACUUCGUG
rnacentral:rRNA from 1 species